UACGAAGGGGGCUAGCGUUGCUCGGAAUCACUGGGCGUAAAGCGUGCGCAGGCGGUUUUGUAAGCCAGAUGUGAAAUCCCCGGGCUUAACCUGGGAAUGGCAUUUGGGACUGCAAGGCUCGAGUGCGGCAGAGGAGACUGGAAUUCCUGGUGUAGCAGUGAAAUGCGUAGAUAUCAGGAGGAACGCCGAUGGCGAAGGCAGGUCUCUGGGCUGACACUGACGCUCAUGCACGAAAGCGUGGGGAGCAAACAGG
rnacentral:rRNA from 1 species